AUUGAACGCUGGCGGCAGGCUUAACACAUGCAAGUCGAGCGAGCGGCGGACGGGUGAGUAAUGUCUGGGAAACUGCCUGAUGGAGGGGGAUAACUACUGGAAACGGUAGCUAAUACCGCAUACCAUCAGAUGUGCCCAGAUGGGAUUAGCUAGUAGGUGGGGUAAUGGCACACCUAGGCGACGAUCCCUAGCUGGUCUGAGAGGAUGACCAGCCACACUGGAACGGAGACACGGCCCAGACUCCAACGGGAGGGAGCGGUGGGGAAAGGUGCACAAGUGGAGCGAGCCUGAUCCAGACAUGCCGCGUGUGUGAAGAAGGCCUUCGGGUUGUAAAGCACUUUCAGCGUGGAGGCGUUACUCGCAGAAGAAGCACCGGCUAACUCCGUGCCAGCAGCCGCGGUAAUUC
rnacentral:rRNA from 1 species